GACGAACGCUGGCGGCGUGCUUAACACAUGCAAGUCGAACGGUAAGGCCCUUCGGGGUACACGAGUGGCGAACGGGCGAGUAACACGUGGGUGAUCUGCCCUGCACUUCGGGAUAAGCCUGGGAAACUGGGUCUAAUACCGGAUAGGACUCCUGGCUUCAUGGUUGGGGGUGGAAGGCUUUUGCGGUGUGGGAUGGGCCCGCGGCCUAUCAGCUUGUUGGUGGGGUAAUGGCCUACCAAGGCGACGACGGGUAGCCGGCCUGAGAGGGUGACCGGUCACACUGGGACUGAGAUACGGCCCAGACUCCUACGGGAGGCAGCAGUGGGGAAUAUUGCACAAUGGGCGCAAGCCUGAUGCAGCGACGCCGCGUGAGGGAUGACGGCCUUCGGGUUGUAAACCUCUUUCAGCUAUGACGAAGCGCAAGUGACGGUAGUAGCAGAAGAAGGACCGGCCAACUACGUGCCAGCCGCCGCGGUAA
rnacentral:rRNA from 1 species